rnacentral:rRNA from 1 species
AACAGCUCAAAUUUGAAAUCUGGCUUCGGCCCGAGUUGUAAUUUGCAGAGGAUGUUUCUGGCGCGGUGCCUUCCGAGUUCCCUGGAACGGGACGCCACAGAGGGUGAGAGCCCCGUAUGGUUGGACACCAAGCCUGUGUGAAACUCCUUCAACGAGUCGAGUAGUUUGGGAAUGCUGCUCUAAAUGGGAGGUAAAUCUCUUCUAAAGCUAAAUACCGGCCAGAGACCGAUAGCGCACAAGUAGAGUGAUCGAAAGAUGAAAAGCACCUUGAAAAGGGGGUUAAAUAGUACGUGAAAUUGUUGAAAGGGAAGCACUUAUGACCAGACUUGGGCCGGGCGGCUCAUCAGGGGUUCUCCCCUGUGCACUCCGCCCGGCACAGGCCAGCAUCGGUUCUCGUGGGGGGAUAAGACCGUCAGGAACGUAGCACCCUCCGGGGUGUGUUAUAGCCUGGCGGACGAUACCCCCGUGGGGACCGAGGUCCGCGCUCCGCAAGGAUGCUGGCGUAAUGGUCAUCAGUGACCCGUCUUGAAACACGGACCAAGGAGUCGUCCAUUAGAGCGAGCGUUUGGGUGUAAAACCCGCACGCGUAAUGAAAGUGAACGCAGGUGAGAGCUUCGGCGCAUCAUCGACCGAUCCUGAUGUUCUCGGAAGGAUUUGAGUAAGAGUUUUAACGGACGGACCCGAAAGACAGUGAACUAUGCUUGUAUAGGGUGAAGCCAGAGGAAACUCUGGUGGAGGCUCGCAGCGGUUCUGACGUGCAAAUCG